GACGUAGGGCGCGAGCGUUGUCCGGAUUUAUUGGGCGUAAAGAGCUCGUAGGCGGCUUGUCGCGUCGACUGUGAAACCCGCGGCUCAACUGCGGCCUGCAGCCGAUACGGGCAGGCUAGAGUUCGGUAGGGGAGACUGGAAUUCCUGGUGUAGCGGUGAAAUGCGCAGAUAUCAGGAGGAACACCGGUGGCGAAGGCGGCAUCCUGGACCGACAUUGACGCUGGAUGAGCGAAAGCUAGGGAGCAAACGGG
rnacentral:rRNA from 1 species